rnacentral:misc_RNA from 1 species
UGUACACACCGCCCGUCACACCAUGGAAGCUGGUAGUGCCCGAAGUCGUUACCCUAACUGAAAAGAAGGGGACGCCGAAGGCAGGACUGGUGACUGGGGUGAAGUCGUAACAAGGUAGCCGUACCGGAAGGUGUGGCUGGAUCACCUCCUUUACAGGGAGACCAACUCGAAGGCAGAAGGCAGAGGGCAGAGGGCAGAAGAAAUGAAGCUUUUUGACCAACAAGACUUCACCUGAGGGACAUCCCAGGUCGUUCGAGGAUGAAGUAGAACAGCUUUCAAACUAUUAGAUGGUUCGUUAAAAAUUAUCAAACCGAACAAAAAGCCGGAAAGUUCAGCAAUUUGACUAUAUUUUAGUCAAUCUGCUGGAUGAUAUCCAGCGGUGAACCUUGAAAACUGCAUAGUAACGCAAAUUAUGGUAGUGAAUUGUGAAUGGUUAAUUGUGAAAUGAACAAUCAACUGUAAACAAUCAACACACACCAAUAAAUAGUGGUCAAGCGAAUAAAGGCUAAUGGUGGAUACCUAGGCACACAGAGA